ensembl:ncRNA C46A5.15 ncRNA
CCUUAAAAAAAGGAGAUGAGAAAACGCCUUUUAUUCCUUCUUAUUCUAUUUUCCACGUGCUCAGCGAGCCCGUUUCC